UUCCCCCUAACGCUUGAAUUAGAUCAAUAAGGCAUCACGGUCCAUUGGAUUCUAACCCGAGGGUUCUGAUUGAGAGUCCACUCAGUUUGUAUGGGUCCCAAAAUCCACGUCUGAUGAAUGAAUGAGUGGUGGUCAGUUGGUACGAGUCAUUUUAGUCUUUACGCUUUAUAUUUUUUCUCCUUCCCGCACUGAUUGCUUCCUGGCUUCAACCGGUUACUCC
rnacentral:lncRNA from 1 species